UACGUAGGUGACAAGCGUUGUCCGGAUUUACUGGGCGUAAAGAGCGCGCAGGCGGUCGAUCAAGUCGAGUGUGAAAGCCCCCGGCUCAACUGGGGAGGGUCAUUCGAUACUGAUCGACUCGAAGGCAGGAGAGGGUAGUGGAAUUCCCGGUGUAGUGGUGAAAUGCGUAGAUAUCGGGAGGAACACCAGUGGCGAAGGCGACUGCCUGGCCUGUUCUUGACGCUGAGGCGCGAAAGCUAGGGGAGCAAACGGG
rnacentral:rRNA from 1 species